GGGUCAGUAGGUUGGUCGUGCCACCGGUACGUACUGGUCCCACUGAUUCCUCCUUCCUGAAGAACCGUAAUGCCAUUAAUUUGGUGUUGCGGGGAAACAGGACUGUUACUUUGAAAAAAUUAGAGUGUUUAAAGCAAGCUAACGCUUGAAUACAUUAGCAUGGAGUAAUGAAAUAGGACGAUCGAUCCUAUUUUGUUGGUUUCUAGGAUUGACGUA
rnacentral:rRNA from 1 species